rnacentral:lncRNA from 10 species
UUAUAAAGAAAAGAGAUUUAAUUGGCUGAAGGUUCUGCAGGCUGUACAAGCACGGUGCAAGCAUCUGCUUGGCUUCUGGAGAGGCCUCAGGGAGUGUUUACUCAUGGUUGAAGGCAAGGCAGGAGCUUGAAUGUCACAUGGUGAAAGAAGGAGCAAGAGAGAGAGAGUGGGGGAGAAGCCACACACUUUAAACAACCAGAUCACAUGGGAGCUCACUCACUAUCACAAGGACAACAUUAAGCCAUGAGGGAUCUG